AUUGAACGCUGGCGGCAGGCCUAACACAUGCAAGUCGAGCGGAUGAAGGGAGCUUGCUCCUGGAUUCAGCGGCGGACGGGUGAGUAAUGCCUAGGAAUCUGCCUGGUAGUGGGGGAUAACGUCCGGAAACGGGCGCUAAUACCGCAUACGUCCUGAGGGAGAAAGUGGGGGAUCUUCGGACCUCACGCUAUCAGAUGAGCCUAGGUCGGAUUAGCUAGUUGGUGGGGUAAAGGCCUACCAAGGCGACGAUCCGUAACUGGUCUGAGAGGAUGAUCAGUCACACUGGAACUGAGACACGGUCCAGACUCCUACGGGAGGCAGAAGUGGGGAAUAUUGGACAAUGGGCGAAAGCCUGAUCCAGCCAUGCGGCGUGUGUGAAGAAGGUCUUCGGAUUGUAAAGCACUUUAAGUUGGGAGGAAGGGCAGUAAGUUAAUACCUUGCUGUUUGGACGUUACCAACAGAAUAAGCACCGGCUAACUUCGU
rnacentral:rRNA from 1 species